UUAAUGCUUAAUUCAAAAAAUAUCUGAGUACCUGCAGUGUUCCCCAUGCUACAUACUGGGCUUAAACAGCCAAAAAGACACAGUCUUUGACCUCAAAAUACUUUGAUUCUUGUAAGAAAAACUGACAAAGACAAAGAGAAGGCAAUGUGAAAACUUCUACAGUUGGGAUAACCUUGGAGGUUACAGGAUGUGGACUCACUGAAAGCUUUCUGCUGGACUUGAACUUGAAGCUGAAGUCUGAAGGACAGAUGGGUGUUGCUUAGCGAAGGGAAAGUAGGAAGCAAAGACCCCUGGACAGAGUGUAGCAGGCACAGAGGGAGCAUGACACCUUCGGGAGAGAGCCGCAAGCACCUGGGCCCAGAUCCCAGCUUUAGCUUCAUUAGCCCUGUGAACUCUGUAUGUCAGCCUUGACAUAGAAAAAAAGAGGAUACUAAACCUCCAUCUUAAAAGAGACUUGGAAGAAGCUGGGAUUAUAGGCACACCACCACACCUGGCCCCAGAAAAGGGAAUCCUUGACCUGCAAGAAUCGAGGAAUAUUGUUUCUGACAUGCUCAGUGGACCUACUGCUGGUGUUCUUAACCAUUUCCUUCCUAAGUGGAACUUCUUUUGAGGUUAAUGUUUAUAUACAAUUACUUUAACAUUGGAUUUGGGAAAUGGAACAACAUACUGCGGAUCUUU
rnacentral:lncRNA from 1 species